rnacentral:pre_miRNA from 1 species
AAACUGCUCCCUAAGUUUUGCAAUUGUAGCAGUUUUGUCCCCCUAAGGCCGUUUUUUGGUAUAAAAAAAAUAACACGUGGCACCUCACUUAGGGUUCCAUGUCAGCCUAGACCGAGUCAAAAUUGGCCUUGGGGGCCAAAACUGCCACAGAUGCAAAAUUUAAGGGGCGGCUU